rnacentral:rRNA from 1 species
AUUGAACGCUGGCGGCAUGCCUUACACAUGCAAGUCGAACGGUAACGGGCCUUCGGGUGCCGACGAGUGGCGAACGGGUGAGUAAUGCAUCGGAACGUACCUUUCAGUGGGGGAGAACGUAGCGAAAGUUACGCUAAUACCGCAUAUUCUGUGAGCAGGAAAGCAGGGGAGUGCAAGACCUUGCGCUGAUUGAGCGGACGAUAUCAGAUUAGCUAGUUGGUGAGGUAAAGGCUCACCAAGGCGACGAUCUGUAGCGGGUCUGAGAGGAUGAUCCGCCACACUGGAACUGAGACACGGUCCAGACUCCUACGGGAGGCAGCAGUGGGGAAUUUUGGACAAUGGGGGCAACCCUGAUCCAGCCAUGCCGCGUGAGUGAAGAAGGCCUUCGGGUUGUAAAGCUCUUUCGGCCGGGAAGAAAUCGUAUCAGCUAAUACCUGGUGCGGAUGACGGUACCGGCAUAAGAAGCACCGGCUAACUACGUGCCAGCAGCCGCAGUAACAC